rnacentral:misc_RNA from 1 species
GUGCCUUCCAACUUUUCCCACCCCUCCUUUGACACAGAAGUUUUUCCAAUGAACAAAUAGUCAAUUGGUGAAUCUCGGUAUUUCAGUUUCAAAGUCGCAAGUACAUCAGCUGGUCCCUGCAUAGGUCCUGAUACCCCAAUACAUGCAGAAACUGAAUAUGUGGAACCUGGAGAAACCCUGCUUGUGAUAUCUUGCUCCAAACCCUG